rnacentral:lncRNA from 1 species
GUCCCAGUGCUCGGGGCCUCCCGUCGCAUGGGCCUCACUGUUUGGGGAUGGGCUUUAGGUUGCAGCAUCUUGGAGUCAAUUAAUUGUAUUGAUGUUGUUAACAUUCUCUGUAAAUUCACGGAAAUUACCAGAUGAAUAUUUGAUGAGGCUAAUUAAGCCUGAAUUACUGCCCCCUCUCCCCCUCUCUUUUCUGCUGUUCUCUCUGGAAUGUGGGUGAGCGUUUGAUUUCCUCAAUUGUCCUGUCCCCAAAGCCUUGGGCUUAGACUUAUAGAACUGUUUGAGUUGGAAGGGACCCUUGAAGGCCAUCUGGUCCAAUGCCCCGCAAUGAGCAGGGACACCUACAGAGUGGGACAAUCCUUUCCCUUGCCCGGUGGCAGUGCUGAGCCUGUUGUUCGCCAGGAUAAAGUUGGCUUUCCUGGCUGGCUGGGUUAUGGUUGACUGACGUUCAAACCCUUUUCCUUCCUCCUGUUCCGCUUGCCAAGCACGGCCUGUGUUAAGGCUAAUGAGUUAAUGAGCCAGGAUAAGUAACAGGGCUUUGUUCUUAGCCUUGUUUUUUUCCCACUUCACCUUUAAAGACACGAAAGGUGAAAAUAAAACAAAAGCAGCUCUGUGGGCAUGCUUCCCCCCCCCCCCAUUUUCCCAGGCUUUUCUCCCCCACAUCUACCUCUCCUGCUCCCUGCUGUGCCCUGCCAUGCCCUGAACCUGCCAGCAUUGGGAGCUGACUCUGCUGUCAAGGAUGCCCUUAUCUCCAAGGGUAUGGCUUGCCUUUCGGAUUCAGGAUGGCGUUAAGAUCAAGGCUCUGACUAAUCUCCUCUGAUACGGUAUGCCACGGCAGGGCAGAGGGUCUGACAGCACGGGGCUGCUGCCCGAUUUGUGUUCAUCCCCUCCCCCCAGACACAGCUAUGGAGACACUGCAGGGUCUGCAGAGGGGAGUCCUUCUUUGCACAGAGCAGAUUCAUCCCCCGGGCUGCUCAGCUCUGAGCUCAUGCCCAACAGGAGCUGCACAUUGUAAAACAGGCCAGGUGUGCUGCGGUAAGUGGAGUGACAGGCAGAAAUAAGCACAAAAGAAUUAGAUGGAUAGAUAGGAAUGAGGGAUCAAUAAACCAAGACUAAAGAUAGCAAGAGAGAUGCUCUGAGUGCUGUUCACAGAGAAAUAGAUGUUGCAGGCAAAAAGAUCCUUGAAUCAGAGAAACAUCAAAUGGGAGAGAUGAGGCUUUGAGAAGGGUCACUUUAAAUGCACUUCAGUGCUGGGCCAGGAUUAGCCAGACAAUACCUGGCUAAUGCUUCCUCUUUUCUCUUCUUGUUUUAGACCCAAGUGCUAGGACCGGAGCAGCACCACCAGCCCUACUUUCAGCACUUCAUUCAGAACUCCAUCUCAGCAUCAGCCCAUCUCCUCUUCUGCAGUAAUGCCUCCUCCCACCACAGCUCAGCCUGGCUUCACCCUAUCCCGAGGCGAGCUACUGCCCAUCUCCUCCUUCUCCAUAGGCAUCUGGGCACAAAGCUGCUGAAAGAAACCAGCCUAUUCCUCUCUGUGCACAUGGAGAGCCCUUGGGGGACUGGUGGGUGUCUGUUUGGAGGUAGGGGAUCGGGUGAGCCCAUUCUGCCAGUAGAUGCCCGGUGUGGUCCUUCCCCAGGGAGGAAUCUGUGCUGUGGGCGCUUUGUCUGUGGGGCUGCGCUGGAGCCGUUUAUCAGUCCCGAUGCAUAUUUAAUGCCAAAGUGGUGAGCAGAAGCAGAGCAGUGUUUGCAGACAGGCGAGCCGGGGAGCUCUGCCAUGGCUGUUAACAGUCCUGCAUUAAUUAUGAUGGAAUAAAUAAUUCACAGGGCUAAUAACAAAGGCUUGUUUUUAAUGGCGAUGGAAAUCCCGCUGCUCCCGGGAGGCAGCGGAGGAAAUGCUGUGCACUGAACCCAGUGGGCAGCACAGCAAAGCAUGGGGGUCCUGCGUGGUGGCAUUCUGGGGGGGCCCUGCACAACCCUAGGGCAUCGUGGCUCUCCAUGGCACCUGCCUGGAAAGCUUGCAGGAUGAGGGCAGGAGGGAUCAGCUUCUGUGGGACCCACACUUGUGCUGGAACAGCAGGCAGCUCUUCCAUCUCCCACCUGUCUCAUUUUGCCUUGCUUUUUAGCCUUGUGCAGUGGAAGUGCAGAUCCCCAGCUCUGUGCCUUGUCCGGAUGCAGUGGGCACAGCCUGCGUCUUCCCUGUCCUUCCCUCAGGCUGUGUGUCCUUCCCUUCCUUCCCUCCAUAACCUGCUCUUUGACUUCUUUGAACAUUAAUAUGAAUGUUUUCUUGCACCCCUAUUGUCCUUCAGCUUAAAUAGCUUUUUCCCCUCCCUGAUGUUUACCCUCCAGAUGUAUUUAUAGAGAAAAAAAGUCACAUCGAUGCCAGUGUACUUCAUCUGGGCUAAGUGAUAUCUGUUCCCCUCUCCGUGCCAUGUGCCCUGGCUCAGCCCACAGCCCUGCUCUGCUCCUCCUUACCGUCCUUUGUUGUGGGCAUCCUCCUGGCUGGCAUCCAAAGCCACCACGGUGGGUGACUUUGGGCAAACCACGUUGCUUUGCCUGCCUCAGUUCCCCUAUAUAGGGAGAAUGGUGACUCCAUCCUGUGGCAAGGGCUGGCUAUAGGAAAUGUAGGAGCUGUCUGCUUUCCAGUGCUGAUCCUUUAUGGAGGCUCAUUUCAAUACUCUGUGUUUACACCUCAAUGGGACCACAAACCCCGUCCCACCCCAUUGCGGGCAGCUGCAGAAUGGCACAGGCACGGAGCUCUGCACCUACAGAGGAGGUGUUUGCACAGACAAACAGCCACCCUUGGACUGUUCCCAUCCAAAGAGGUGUUUUAGAGGAGACCGGGACAGCCCCCAGCACAGGCUGUUGACACAGGAGAAUGCAGCAGAUUUCACCUAGAAAGGGGCUGUUUGAACAGAACAGCACAGCUCAGAAGUGCUUAUGUCUGGAGAGUGGAUGUUUACACAGGGGAAUAAAGCAUCCGCCUUGCUAUUAGAGCACAAAACAAAUGUUUGCCCAGGUAAGCACAGAGCCCAAGCUCCGGUUUGGCAUUGGGUCUGUAGCUCUCAAUGAGCACAGCCGCUGUUGGGCUCUCCCAGGUCCCCGCUGUGCUGGGGGAUGGGGUGCAUGGCUCACCCACAGCCAAAGCCACCUCUUCUCAGCCGGCUCAAGAAUUAAGCACCAUUCAGCACACGCUGGUGAAAAAUUGCUUUUAAUUCCUUUUUCUUUCCAUUAGACAUGCUCUCUC